rnacentral:lncRNA from 1 species
UUUUGUUCCAUAACAAAAAAUAUUCCAUCUUGUAAAAUAACAGAAUGUAAAAGAUUGGUAUUGCAUGGAUUACAGCAGAAAACAUAACAUACUCUUAAAAUAGGAUAAAAAUAAUUCCUGACAGAUAUCUUAAAAGAUCUUAAACCAAAUAUCAGAUAAUGUAUGUUAUGCAUUGAAGUAAAAUUUGGUGAUUUAAAACUAUAAAUGAAGCAAACUUACUAAUUACUUCUGUCAAAAAAUAUACAAAACUGUGUAUUUAGGUGCAUCUUUAAAUUGCAGUUAAGAAUAGGGUAUUAGAAUAAAAGUAUCAUCAUGACUGAAUAAUUUUGCUCAAGAUGGCAAACUUGGAAAGCAGUAUCCAAUAAUUAAAUAACAGUUAAGAGACAAUAUGUAAACAGUAUUUAUGAAAUUACAAUUUUGUAUUUUGAUAUCCAACAUUCAAGAUAUCUACUUGUAGCUAUCAUAAACACUGUAACUUGGUUUCCUUAAUAUUUUUGUAAGGGGGAGGAAUAAAAAUCUUAAAGAAAAUAAUUUCAAAACUAUUGCUAAAAUUUGUGUCAAAAAAAGGAACUUAACAACAAAAGAAAUGCACCACCACAGUUAAUUUAUUUAUUAUUAAAAAUCUUAUUAUUCCGUACUGUACCUGCAUUUUCAUCACUGAGUUUGUUAUGUCCAGCUAAUUAAAUAAUCCUUCAUUGGUUCUAGAUGAGAAUUUAUAAGUCCCAUUGAAAAACCUAUAGAGAAUAAUGGGUUUUGAAUUUACAAAAAGGGACCGAUGAACUUUCAAAAAUUAAAAUUAAUAAAGAAAAGCCAUUCUACUAAAAGAUUUCAUUUCUUUUGCAAUAGUUUGUUUUUGGUGAUUUUUAAGCAAAUUGACAAACGUAUUUGUUGGACUUAGGUUGUCUUAAAAAAUCACAGAAAAUGCAGGCAUUCUUUUUUUCUAGUAUAUCAGUACUAAUUAAAAGUAGGCUCUCAAUAUUAUGAACAAAAUAACUCCCCUUUUCCAAGAAAACAUAAAUUAUGUGUUCCACACUGUGUACACACCUGUAACCUUCACACUUAACACUCUGGUAUAAAUAUAUACAUGUAUUUACACGAUGGACAUGACUGGCAGCUUUGACAGGAGCAGAAACUCCAAAGAAUUAUAACACAAUUAGUAAGAAGAGAUCAAAACAUAUAACAAAUAACAGAUAAUAAAUAUAGGUAUUAUUUAUAAUUGGAAUUAUUUUUUUAAAGGAAAUAAUCUUCCUUUACCAAUCAGUAAGAUUGAUACCAAUAAUUUUUAUGCAAACAAUUUCUAAAAGGGUUUCAUGACUCUUAUCUUGCCUGCAUUUGCUGCUGUCUGUGUAAUAGUGCAAUAUCUACUGCAAAAAACUCAUUUUAUCAGUAAAAUAUGGACUUUUUGUAAUUUGAAGUUUUGUAAAGAUUUGACAAAGUUAUAGAUAUCCAAGUCAGUGUUUAAUUUUAAGGCUUUUUGUAAUUUGAGAUCAAAAAGAAAAAUAUGACUAAAAUAAUUCCAAUAUUCAAUAAUUAAAUUAGUAUG